UCAAGCUAUUAAGGGCAUUCGGUGGAUGCCUUGGCACCAAGAGGCGAUGAAGGACGUGGCAAAACUGCGAUAAUCCACGGGGAGCCGUAAGCAGGCAUCGAUCCGUGGGUCUCCGAAUCGGGAAACCGACGCCGAGUCAUGUCGGCGUGGCCUCCAGCUGAAUACAUAGGCCGGAGGUAGCGAACGAGGGGAACUGAAACAUCUCAGUACCCUCAGGAAAAGAAAUCAAAUCAGAGACUCCGCUAGUAGUGGCGAGCGAAAGCGGACUAGGCCAAACCAUCUGAAUUUUCAGGUGGGGUUGUAGGGCCAGCGACGUGGACCUGCAGAGGUAGCUGAACGACCUGGGAAGGUCGGCCAAAGAGGGUGAUAGCCCCGUAAACGAAACCCGAGCAGGCCUAGCUGGUACCCUGAGUACAACGGGACACGAGAAACCCUGUUGGAAUCCGGGAGGACCAUCUCCCAAGCCUAAGUACUACUUGGUGACCGAUAGUGAACCAGUACCGUGAGGGAAAGGUGAAAAGAACCCCCGCGAGGGGAGUGAAAAGACUCUGAAACCGAAUGUCUACAAGCCGUUGAAGCACUAUGGCAGCAAUGCAACGUGCGACAGCGUGCCUUUUGCAUAAUGAGCCUGCGAGUUACAGUGUCCAGCAAGGUUAAGCCGUUAGGCGUAGCCGAAGCGAAAGCGAGUCUGAACAGGGCGACAAGUUGGAUGCCGUAGACCCGAAACCCGGUGAUCUAUCCUUGGCCAGGCUGAAGAGCGGGUAACACCGCUUGGAGGGCCGAACUCACUAUAGUUGAAAAUAUAGGGGAUGAGCUGAGGAUCGGAGUGAAAGGCUAAUCAAACUGGGUUAUAGCUGGUUCUCGCCGAAACAUAUUUAGGUAUGGGGUCAUAGGCUAUGCGUCGGAGGUAAAGCACUGGAUGGGCUAGGGGUCCUACCAGAUUACCAAACCCAACCAAACUCUGAAUGCCGACGACAUUGACCAUGGCACACAGGCUGCGAGAGCUAAGUUCCGUAGCCAAAAGGGAAAGAGCCCAGACCGCCAGCUAAGGUCCCCAAAUUUGCACUAAGUGGAGAAGGAUGUGGGGGCACACAGACAGCCAGGAGGUUGGCUUAGAAGCAGCCAUCCUUUAAAGAAAGCGUAAUAGCUCACUGGUCAAGUGAACCUGCGCCGAAAAUGUAACGGGGCUAAAGUGCAAUACCGAAGCUGCGGAUUGGAGUCAUGACUGCGGUCAUGGCCCAGUGGUAGGCGAGCAUUCCAAGGGCUGCGAAGGCCGACGGGAACGACGGCUGGAGCGCUUGGAAGAGCUUAUGCAGGCUUGAGUAGCGAUAAAACAGGUGAAAAACCUGUUCGCCGUAAGCCCAAGGUUUCCUGGGUCAAGUUCAUCUUCCCAGGGUUAGUCGGUCCCUAAGGCGAGGCCGAAAGGCGUAGCUGAUGGGAAGCAGGUUAAUAUUCCUGCACCGCCUUGGACAGUUUCCACAGGGGGGACGGAGAAACGCAGCCGAGCCGGAUACUGGAUACCGGUUCAAGCCCGUAGGGAGACUCGAUAGGAGGCCUAGUGCCACAAACGUCGAGUCAAUCCCGAGAGGUGAUGAGGAGGACGCUUGCGUCCACAAACUCGGUGAUCGUCCGCUUCCAAGAAAAGCCUCGGUGGAGUCAACUGCUAGGGCGACCGUACCGCAAACCGACACAGGUGGGCGGGGAGAAGAUCCCAAGGCGCUUGAGAGAACCCUGCCUAAGGAACUCGGCAAAAUGACACCGUAACUUCGGGAGAAGGUGUGCCCUCAUUACGUGAACCGCGAACGCGGGGAGCGGAAGGGGGUUGCAGAGAAUCGGGGGUAGCGACUGUUUACCAAAAACACAGCGCUCUGCGAAGUCGCAAGACGACGUAUAGGGCGUGACGCCUGCCCGGUGCUGGAAGGUUAAGAGGAGGAGUCAGCCGCAAGGCGAAGCUCCGAAUCGAAGCCCCAGUAAACGGCGGCCGUAACUAUAACGGUCCUAAGGUAGCGAAAUUCCUUGUCGGGUAAGUUCCG
rnacentral:rRNA from 1 species